rnacentral:sRNA from 1 species
UCUCCCAUCCAUGUAUUAACCAGGCCCAACCCUGCUUAGCUUCCGAGAUCAGAUGAGAUUGCGAGCAUUCAGGGUGGUAUGGCCGUAGAC